rnacentral:tRNA from 1 species
GAGCCUGUAGAGCAACAGUAGCGCAUCUGACUCCAGAUCAGGAGACUGUGUUUGAAUCAUAUCGGACUCA